rnacentral:rRNA from 1 species
UACGUAGGGGGCAAGCGUUGUCCGGAUUUAUUGGGCGUAAAGAGCGUGUAGGCGGUUAGGUAGGUCCGUUGUGAAAACUCGAGGCUCAACCUCGAGACGCCGAUGGAAACCAUCUAACUAGAGUCCGGAAGAGGAGAGUGGAAUUCCUGGUGUAGCGGUGAAAUGCGCAGAUAUCAGGAGGAACACCGGUGGCGAAGGCGGGUCUCUGGGCAGUAACUGACGCUGAGGAGCGAAAGCGUGGGGAGCGAACAGGA